GAAGCAUUGGCCAACCGCUAAAGCUCAUGUAGGCCACAGGGCAAUGACAGCAGCAACCUCACAUGUGCAAUUUAGACAUGUACGUGUUUAGAUGGGCUUAUCUCAAGUCAUCUUAUCUGAUAGUUUAACAGUUUAACAGACAAACUCUAAAUGGAGAUGAGGAGUGACUAAAGCUGCUUGGGUCUCUGUUCAAGUGGCUGUAGGAAUGGAGGAAGACCAAGGACCAAGCAGUGAUGGGUCCCAAACGACAGAGGCGAAGAAACCGUGUCGUAAAUCUGACACCAAGAGGUACAGUGAGAUCCUCAGGGACUUUGAUAACUUUGAACUGUCUUUGAUCUGCAAUGCAGGGGAAGAUCUUCUGGCUGAUAUUGAUUCACCAAGUGCUGAGUCCACAGAGCCAAGCGAGGAGCCAAAUGAGGAGC
ensembl:lncRNA